GGAUCUGUAGCUCAAUAGUAGAGUGCCUCGUUGACAUCGAGGAAGUAGUCGGAGCGUAACCGACCAGAUCCACCA
rnacentral:tRNA from 1 species